rnacentral:misc_RNA from 1 species
GAUGAAGAACGUAGUGAAAUGCGAUACGUAAUGUGAAUUGCAGAAUUCAGUGAAUCAUCGAAUCUUUGAACGCAUAUUGCGCUCUCUGGUAUUCCGGAGAGCAUGCUUGUUUGAGUAUCAGUAAACACCUCAACUUCCAUAUCUUUUUUGAAAUGGGAGUUGGACUUGAGUGAUCCCAACGCUUUUCCUCACCGAAAAGUGGCGGGUUACUUGAAAUGCAGGUGCAGCUGGACUUUUCUCUGAGCUAUAAGCAUAUCUAUUUAGUCUGCCUAAAAAACAGAUUAUUACCUUUGCUGCAGCUAACAUAAAGGAGAUUAGUUCUUGUGCUGACUGAUGCAGGAUUCACAAAGACAGGCUUCGGCCGACUUUGUAAACUCGAUCUCAAAUCAAAUAAGACUACCCGCUGAACUUAAGCAUAUCAAUAAGCGGAGGA